rnacentral:rRNA from 1 species
GACGAACGCUGGCGGCGUGCCUAAUACAUGCAGGUCGAGCGAAGUUUUUCUGGUGCUUGCACCGGAAAAACUUAGCGGCGAACGGGUGAGUAACACGUAAAGAACCUGCCUCAUAGACUGGGACAACUAUUGGAAACGAUAGCUAAUACCGGAUAAUAGCAUUAACUGCAUGGUUGAUGUUUAAAAGUUGGUUUUGCUAACACUAUGAGAUGGCUUUGCGGUGCAUUAGCUAGUUGGUGGGGUAAAGGCCUACCAAGGCGACGAUGCAUAGCCGACCUGAGAGGGUGAUCGGCCACACUGGGACUGAGACACGGCCCAGACUCCUACGGGAGGCAGCAGUAGGGAAUCUUCCGCAAUGGGCGAAAGCCUGACGGAGCAACGCCGCGUGAGUGAAGAAGGAUUUCGGUUCGUAAAGCUCUGUUGUUAGGGAAGAAUGAUUGUGUAGUAACUAUACACAGUAGAGACGGUACCUAACCAGAAAGCCACGGCUAACUACGUG